rnacentral:rRNA from 1 species
UACAGAGACUGCAAGCGUUAUUCGGAUUCACUGGGCGUAAAGGGUGCGCAGGCGGCCAAGUGUGUCAGGUGUGAAAUCCCGAGGCUUAACCUCGGAACUGCGCCUGAAACUACUUGGCUAGAGUACUGGAGAGGGUCGCGGAAUUCCCGGUGUAGAGGUGAAAUUCGUAGAUAUCGGGAGGAACACCGGUGGCGAAGGCGGCGACCUGGGUAGAUACUGACGCUGAGGUGCGAAAGCGUGGGGAGCAAACAGG